rnacentral:lncRNA from 1 species
GCUGACACAAGGCAUGCUGGGAUUGUGGAGGACCGCCUUCGCUGUUCAGUGUCAUGGCGACCAACGUCGGCCAAAUUUUGCAGAUUGAAAACAUAAAUAAAACAAAAGAAUUUGAAGACGAAGAAUGAUGAGUGACAAACAACAAAAUGGAGGUGUUUCUCAGUCUUUGGGAAAUACGGUGCCUGUGAACCAAGUUGCUGAUGUAAUGGAAACCCACGAACAAACACACGGACACCACCAGACGGUUGGAGCCAUGGAAUGUAGUGGGAAAACACAGCCAGAUGAGGAAGGAGGCUCAGCCACUGCUAAUGCUGAGUUGGUUGUCACUGAAGGUAGUGAGGCACCUCGCAAGAAAAGCAAAAAGCAUAAGAAACAUAAAGGCAAAAAGAAAAAGAAGAAACGCAAGGAGGAGAAAGAAAGCAGCUCAGAAUCAGGUGUAGAGUCUGAUCAAGAAACACAAAGUCAGAUAAGAGAGGCUGAAAGACAAGCAGAAGUUGAUAAUGUCUUUGAUCAUACAAGAAGACUGCUCACAGCUGCUCCUGCAGAAGAGGAAGAAGGAAAAACCAAAAAGCACAAACGAAACUUAUCCAAGAAGAAGAAGAAGAAGAGGAGGAAAGGAGAAAAGAAGUCUCCCACCUAUUCCAGAUCAGGGACUACUUCUGUUUCUGGGACAGAAUCUGAAUCUGAGUCAAGACCUCCUCCAAAAAUUCUGUCCACAUCACUGCCCUUUAAUAUUAAUAAAGAGCUGGCCUCUCCUGUGACUACUCUUGCAACCUUAGACAAGCAUCAGGAUGAAACGUUACAUUUGAUUUCUUCGGACAAGUUUGAGCAUUCUGUCAUAAAUACCAUAGACAAGGCUGAGAUCUGUGAAACUCCCAUGACAAUCAUGACUGUUUCUGAUGAGAGGAAAUCACCCAUGACAUCUUUGGACAGGCCUGCUAAUGGGGAAUCUUCCAUAACAACAUUAGACAACUGUGAUGAAGUGGAACUUCCCAGUACAACUUUGGACAAACCUGAGGAAAGGAACUCUGUCAUGACAAACUUGAAUAAGAUUGACAGGGCAGAGUUUCCUAUAAUGUUUUCCACCACAAGCCUGCAGAUACAUCAGCAGAAGCAGUCCUUCAGCACGACAUUAGACAACCAUAAGGAAGCUAAUAUGCCCUUUGCUACACCUGACAAGUGCCAAGAGGGGACAUCGACUGAAGGUUUGAUUAAAGACAAACAGAGAAGUGAAAGCAUCAGCCUUGACACAGUGUGUGAUCCUAUGUGUGUGGAAAACCAAGACCAGACUGGAAAACCUAAUUUUCAGUCUGGCCAAUCUCAUCCUGAGAAUUCUUUGCACACCAGUGACAAGAAAGAGGACUCUCCCACCAUUGAGGAUGUUGUAGGUUUAGAGAACAGUGAUAAUCAAGUUAGUUUUUGUAAGACUCAGGAUUUGCCUGAUAUAAUUCCUAAGGUCGAGGAUGCACAGAGUGAGACUACACAAGAACCUACUAAAACAGACUCUAGUAUCUCAAAGGAAAAGAUUGAGGACAAAAGAGAGAAUGGUAAAAAAAAUCGGGGAAGUAGCUCCAAAUCACGGUCUAGGUCACAGUCUGUUUCUGGAUUAGGCAAAGCAUUACCACAGCAAACACCCUUUGAAAAAAACCGCAGUGUCUCCAGGAGCCCAAAACGAAUUUCUGGUAAGUCCAGUUUACAAAAAGAUGGCUCAUCAUCCAGGAGAAGGUCUAGGUCCAGGAGAAGGUCUAGGUCUAAGAGAAGGUCUAGAUCUGCCUCACAGAGAAAGAACAGCCCAAGAAAGCACUCCAGGUCUCAUUCAAGGAGACAUAAGUCCAGAUCACGAUCCUUAAGGAGGUCCCACCAAAAAUCCAGGUCCUAUACUCCCAAGAGGUUGCGAGGGUCAGAGUCCCAUUUACCCAGAAGAAGUAGAAGGACAAAGUCAAGAUCUCCUCGACACAGUUACCGUACAAGGACUCCGUCAGUUGUACGGGUUCGCCGAUCACGAUCUCGGUAUAGGCGGAAGCAGUCACGGUCCAGAUCCAAGAGAUCUCAAUCUUAUCGAGCCAGUCGAAGGUCACGGUCCACAAAGAGGGGAAGAGGUUCCAGAUCACACUCAAACUCACAUUAUAAGCGAUCUGUGUCUCGUUCCAGAAGAUCACGUUCUAGGUCUAACAGACGGAUCAGGAGAACUCGUUCAAGGUCCAUAGUGAUCCUGAGAAGAUCAAGGUCUCUUAUUCGGAGAUACAAACGGUCAAGAUCAAGGUCCCCGAGACGGCACUUGUCAAAAUCUCGAUCACCGCAGCAAUCCAGGCAUUCUAGGUCUAGAACACAGUCAAGACAGAAAAGGUCAAACUCUAGAUCAAUUCUGCGCAACAAACAGUCAAAGUCAAGAUCUAAAUCUAAGUCUAAAUUUCCUGGAGGUGAUAGGAGGUCAAAAUCACCCAUAAAAAGAAAGUUUUCUCCAGUCAAAAACAGAUCAAAGUCUAGGUCCAUUUCCAGGAACAAAGAGUUGUCUAAAAUGGGCCCAUCUGUAGCUGAAGGGCAGCCCAGUAAAGAAACAUUGUCUCUAGUAGAAACCCAGCAUUCUGAGGAGCUACCUAAGAUAGAAAAUCAAGCAAAAGAAAUUGUUCAUGAUACCAGUAGUAUACAAAGUUCUCCUUUUCUGAAAACAGUAGGAGAGGUGAAGGAAAGAGAAACUGCUUUUAUUUCUGAUAACCCUGAGGCACAUAAUCCUGUUGUAUCUGUGCAAGAUAGUGUAGACCGUCCAGAGGUGACUGAGGUGACAGUUGGACAUUGGAAACCAGUGCCUUUCAUAGAAAACAGUAGUCCAACUCUUGAUCCUGCUCCUUUCACAAAAAUCAUAAGCUGCACUCCUUUCAAUAAAAAAGCUUUCAUCGGGGUCCCAUCUGAUUGUGUAGCGUCACUAGAUAAAACUGAUAUUACAAAUGAGAUGCUUUCAACUGAGCAGGCUGAGUUUAGGUCAUCAUGCCCUGACAAUUUGUUAGAACAGUCAUCUGAGAUGCAUAACUCUAUCAUCUCUGACACACAGACAUGUGGUUUUCAAGAUGGAAAUCAAAUUACCACCUCUAGAUCCAGAUCUAUUUCACCUAAUUCUGAUCAGUUGUCUGAACCUUUAACAUUGUUACCUAACAGCUCUGUGACGGAACAAUUAAAUAUUCCUGUAUCUGCAAACGGUAAGCCUGAAAGCGGUACAGAAUCUCCACUUGAGGACAGAAGUUCAUGUCCUAGGUCCCUGCCUGACUGCAGUACAGAAAUUAAAACGGAACUGAAUUCUUCAGAAUCACCAUUGCCUGAGUCUUCUACAGAAAAAGAGCUACAAAUCAAAUCACCUAUAAAGAGCAAGAAAGAAUCGCCAUUUCCUAAAAGGAAGGGAGACUCAAAGUCUAGAUCAAAUUCAGAAAUUAAAAAGUCAAAGUCAAGAUCGCCCAUUUGUCGAAAGCAUUCAAGGUCUAGCUCAUCUUCUAUAAGAUGUUCAAGUACACGGAGGAGAAAGUCAAAGUCUAAAUCACCUGUAAGGAAAAGAAAGUCCAGAUCUCCAUCUCACAAUCGGAAGUCUCCCACAAGGAGGAGGCGAUCAAGAUCUUUAACCAAAAAGAGAAAAUCAAGAUCAGAUUCUAGAACAAAAACUACAAAAAGAAGACAUACAAAGUCCAGGUCACCAGUCAGAAGGAAUCGUUCCAAGUCACGUUCAACAAGAAGAACAAGGCGUUCAAAAUCACGAUCAGCAACAAGGAAGAAGAAAUCAAAGUCUAUAGAAAAAAGCAAGCAUUCCAAAUCCCGAUCCCCUGGUGGUAGGAGAAGGUCAAGAUCACAUUCAGUGAAACGGAAUCGUGGUUCAAGGUCAAGGAGAUCACCGUCUAUCUCUCGUCGACGAAGACGCCGCUUUCGCAGUCGCUCCUUUGAUAGACGAGACCGCUGGAAACGCGAGCCAAGCCACUCCCCUAUCCUUAUCCUCCGCAAGAAAAGGUCCACCUCCCGUUCUCGUUGUAGUUCCAGCAAAACCCCUCCACGGUUGACAGAGUUGGACAAGGACCAGCUACUGGAGAUUGCUAAAGCAAAUGCUGCUGCCAUGUGCGCCAAGGCCGGGAUGCCGAUUCCUGAAAGCCUGAAACCCAAGGCGAUCCAGCAGCUGCCCUUGCCGACCCCUGUCCCAUCACCCCUUAACUUGCCUCUGCCUCUGCCUGUGAACCUGCCUAUGGCAAUGCCCAACAUCAGCAUGAAUGCAGCUAUGGCAACUAUGACCGCUGCUACCAUGACAGCUGCCCUAAGCAACAUGGGUGCCCUGGCAACAAUGCCUGCUUUGCCAACCAUCACCAACAAGCCCCCACCAGUGGUUGUGCCCAAUACUGCUAGUAUUGAGGAGGUCAAGAGGAAGGUGGCCCAGAAAGCCAACAGUAUAACCAUAAAGGAGCUUACAGAGAAGUGUAAGCAGAUUGCUGAGAGCAAGGAGGAGAUGGCCAUUGCUCAGCCCCAUGUCUCUGACGAUGAAGAUGACAAGAGGACUUUUGGAGGAAGGGUGCUCAAGUAGAGCAAGGGCACAUCUUUCAGCUUUGAUUAAGCCCUCACCACUUACCACUGACCCCCUCCUUUGAUAACUGCACCUGAUCCUCCAGCCAACAUUUUUGCAUAGGCUGCACUUUUAAGACAGCGUUCCUAUUGGGUGUCAUAAGAUCAUUUCACCACAAGGAGGCAGCCUGUGACUAUUUGGAGCAGGUGACAAUGCACAAAAUCUGAAGAGUAAAAUAGCAGUUGCAGUGACUGAGACAAAUAGUUUCUCUGAAGACAGAUAGGACGUAGACAGCAUUUUAUCUGACAGACCCCUGCUGGUGCAGAUUGUUUUGUGCCCUGGUAAAUUUUCAUAUUACACAACUAUCUGGUUACACACUAAAAAAAGUUAUGUGCAUUCUUAGGCUUCUCCUCUUGCCCUGAUAUUCCAAGAGAAAAAUGGCAAAUGGAAAGACAGGUCUCACAUUUGGAGCUGUAGAAUAGUGUGUUGUGUAUGUCAGAGCAAAAGCUUAUGGGGCACAUGAUUUCUUCCAGUUUCAACUGUGUUGGCUAUUGAUUGUCAUCAGUUAAUAAGCUAUAUGGAUUUGAGAACCCUGAGUUUGUACAGUCCAAGAUGACUUACAAUAAAAGGAAGUAAAGGAAAAGGGAAAAGAAAUCA